AUUGAACGCUGGCGGCAGGCUUAACACAUGCAAGUCGAACGAGCGGCGGACGGGUGAGUAAUGUUUGGGAAUCUGCCUGAUGGAGGGGGAUAACUACUGGAAACGGUAGCUAAUACCGCAUACCAUCAGAUGUGCCCAAGUGGGAUUAGCUAGUUGGUGGGGUAAUGGCUCACCAAGGCGACGAUCCCUAGCUGGUCUGAGAGGAUGACCAGCCACACUGGAACUGAGACACGGUCCAGACUCCUACGGGAGGCAGCAGUGGGGAAUAUUGCACAAUGGGCGCAAGCCUGAUGCAGCCAUGCCGCGUGUGUGAAGAAGGCCUUCGGGUUGUAAAGCACUUUCAGUGAGGAGGCGUUAAUCACAGAAGAAGCACCGGCUAACUCCGUGCCAGCAGCCGCGGUAAUAC
rnacentral:rRNA from 1 species